rnacentral:lncRNA from 1 species
ACCGUGCAGCUGGGAUUGUUUGUGGUCGGCUACUGGGUCCCUGACUUAACCAGGGGAGCCAAGACCCUGUAGCCAAGUGGCCUGGAUUCAACCUGCAGCUCAGGUCUUACUGACACUUCUCCCCCUGGUGCCUCAGUUUCUUAAUCUGUGAAAUGGUGAGGACAUUACAGCAUUUACCUCUGGGGCGGGUUUCUCAACAGCAGCACUAUUAACAAUUUGGGACAGAGAAUCUUGUGGAGUGGUCUGUCCUGUGCAUUGUGGGAGGUUUGCCAGCAACACCCCACUCACCCCCUCCCACCAAUCCCCAUGUGACAACCGAAAAUGUCCCAGGAUUUUUAGGUCUCCCUUGGGUCUAGAAGCUGCACUUAGGCAUUUUCCCACCUGACACUUGAGUUCAUCUCUGCUUUGGUCCACAUAAGGCCACUUUAAAAAAAUGUUGUUUCUUUAAAGAUUCUAACCAUCUUUUAAACAAAUCCAUUUUCUUCCUCUAUUUCUGCAUUCAGUUAAUCCUUCCAAACCCUUUGUUUAGUAUAUCUUGAAAUGUAUCAAUUCCUGUUCUAGUAAUUAACAUAUGUGACUUGCAUGAUAUCUGCUAUGACCCUUAGUAGAGCUCUGAUUCCUUUAGCACAGGGAAUGUGUUCUCGAUUCUGCUCUGGAUGAUGUAAAUCAAUUUAUUUUACUUUACUUGUCUGGGAUGUUGCUCCUCAUCUGUAAGAUGUAAAUGUGGAUAUGGCUUGGAUUACUAAGUGGUUUUAUUUCUUAAUUCACCUGACAUUUGUUGUGUGCCUGCUGCAAGUCAAAUACAUGGCAUGGUAUUGUUUCCUUGUUCACACCACAGCAAAUGAGAAAAUGAGACAUUAUAGCCAGGUGUGGCGGCACAGGCUUGUGGUCCUAGCUACUCGGAAGGCUGAGGCAGGAGAAUUGCUCCAGCCCAGGAGUUUGAGGUUACAGUAAGGUAUGAUAUCACCAUUGCAUUUCAACCUGGGCAACAGACCCUGUCUCUGAAAAAAGGGAAAAAGACCUUGUGAGCUGUCUACGUGUACUCUAUGUCUCAGGAGACUCAUAUCCUGUAAUUUUUCUAAAUGGCGUCUCCAUGUGGUCUUUCAUGAAUGUUUGUCUGGUAUUCUCUAUCCUUUUACUUUCAACUUUUCUUUACCUUCUACUGAAAUUAUGUCUUUUGUAAACAGCCCAUGAUUAUUUAUUUAGUUAUUUAUUUUUACCCCCCUGCACUAUUUGUCUUGUAAUUGGAGUGUCUGAGUCCAUUAUGUUUAAUGUAAUUAUUGACCUCAUUGGGUUUAAGUCUGUCCAUUGUCAUUUGCUGCCUUCUAAUAUUAUCUCUUUCUUGCUCAACUAUUUUUCUUAUGUUACCUUCUUUAGAUGAAUAAAAACCUUUGCAUUAUUGU